rnacentral:rRNA from 1 species
UUUGAUGGCGACCGGCGCACGGGUGAGUAACACGUAUCCAACCUGCCGAUGACUCGGGGAUAGCCUUUCGAAAGAAAGAUUAAUACCCGAUGGCAUAGUUCUUCCGCAUGGUAGAACUAUUAAAGAAUUUCGGUCAUCGAUGGGGAUGCGUUCCAUUAGGUUGUUGGCGGGGUAACGGCCCACCAAGCCUUCGAUGGAUAGGGGUUCUGAGAGGAAGGUCCCCCACAUUGGAACUGAGACACGGUCCAAACUCCUACGGGGGGCAGCAUG